ACAUAAAUCAGUGUUAAACACAAACAAAUUUUAGGUAAAUUAAAUAAGGUUUUCAUUUUCAAUCAAUAUAAAAGAAAUAAACGCAAUAAAAAACAAUGUCAGUGACGUAAUAAAUAUGUGUAAAUUUACACGCAUCAUUUAUUAAGCAUUAUAAAAAAAUCCAGCAAUAUUAUUAAACUUUGGUUAUUUGUUAUUAUCCCUGCAUUCAAAUUGCAGGUUGGAGCAGGAAGUUAACCCUUCUGUCGCGCAAGCGCGAGCUGGUCGCGAGCAUAGACAGUGGUCGCGAGGCCAUUCGUACGUCACGUGAGCGGCGCCAUUUUCAUCAUAUGACCGUUUUUCCUCAGGCACACUUCAACAUUUUCUUCGCAUUUAACAUCAUUAAUAACAUGUAAAUAAUAGAAUUCGUAAACAUAACGUUUAUGUUAAUUUAUAAUAUGUUUUUUUUUAUUGUUGGCUUUAAGUUAAUUUGUCUGUCAGACUCAGUUUGUUCGUGUUGUAGCCUGUUAACAGUAGACCAAAGGUAUGAUGAUCAAUUAUAAAUGCAAUAUGGUUGAAAGGUCAGUAAACAAACAACAAAAAGGUAAUUUCUUAAUAGAAUGUCUAUACAUUUUUUGCUUUUGUUACAUAUUUCAUACAUCAAAAUCAUUAAACGUUAAUAAUUAUGUAUUCCAACUUGUUGCAGCUUGACAAAAAUGUAGCUUGAAGGAGAAGGGACAGCUGAGUAACAAAGUCCUGGUACGCAGACGACGAUACUAUUACACUGACAAGAGUGUAAUGAUGAUGGAGACACAAGCCAGAGAAAGGGGGGACCAAACACCAGGCCAGAAUUCUGCAUGAGUCAGAUCCAGUGGGUGCAGAUCAUCAUACAGAUGGUUCAAGUGUGGAUCCACCUAAUAUUCAAGAUUUUCUGUCCUGGGACACUCGGCUAACCAUCAAGAAAGAAGACACUCCAGUGGGCAUCCUUUAUCCAUCCAGACCCUCAUACAGAUGGUUGGAGUUUUGAUUCACCUAAAGUACCAUGCAAGAGCACUCAUUUUCCCUCUUGAGACCAUGGUGUGACCUGCAAGGUCGAAUGGAGACUGUAAACGAGACAAUCUUGGAGUCACCUGCAUUCACUGGUCCAGUUGUUAGUCCAAUUACAGAUGGAGAUUAUAGAAGAGGAUGAUGUCUUUUCUCCAACAUCUUUCUAGACUGAUAAAAGAUCUAGACAGGCUUGAACAAAAGUUAACAGAGGGGCUUAUAUAGAGAAUGGUGAGCAGCUACACAUAAAAGAAGAACAUGGAGAAUCUGCCCAGAGGUGUUAACCAGCAAUGCAGCUAUACAACUAAAUUGAUGCAGGCGGAAACAAUGUGUGUAUGUUAUGUCCAAAUGUUGUUAUGUUCAAAUGUUUUACAAUAUACUUAAACAGGU